rnacentral:misc_RNA from 1 species
GAUGAAGAACGCAGCGAAAUGCGAUAACUAAUGUGAAUUGCAGAAUUCCGUGAAUCAUUGAGUCUUUGAACGCACAUUGCGCCCCCUGGUAUUCCGGGGGGCAUGCCUGUCCGAGCGUCAUUGCUGCCCUCAAGCACGGCUUGUGUGUUGGGCCUCCGUCCUCCUCCCGGGGGACGGGCCCGAAAGGCAGCGGCGGCACCGCGUCCGGUCCUCGAGCGUAUGGGGCUUCGUCACCCGCUCUUGUAGGCCCGGCCGGCGCUUGCCGACACAUCAAUCUUUUUUCCAGGUUGACCUCGGAUCAGGUAGGGAUACCCGCUGAACUUAAGCAUAUCAAUAAGCGGAGGA